ensembl:lncRNA
AACCAAAACCUUUUAUUUAAAGUCACUUUAUAAAUUACAUUUUCUCAAAAGCAGUAGCAACAGAUCUUUUACCAAAUUAAUUUUCCUGUCAUGCAAAAACAACCCAAAAGGAAAAUUUGGCUACCCAGUCCUCAAACAGAUCCAUCACUGGAUAGCCACUGAUUAAUUCAAAUGCAAAGUCCAUUUUGACAGGAUGAUCACAACCCAGAUCUUCUCUGGUUUAAUAACAUGAGAGUCCACGUUUUAACAUCCUUUUCUUGGACAGACAUCCCAGCACUCAUGCAUUAGUCCAUUUCCUCAACCUCUCAUUCCCCAGUGGAACUGCCAUCUUGGUGUCUCAUUCGUAGACUCCUUUUGACACUCUUCAUCUGAAUGGAUUCUUUAUGAAAAAUUAGAAGAAAAAUGCUGUUGGAAUACACAUCAUUGCUUUAAACUAAGACAUUCAACUACUGUACCUUGAAGAUAAUUUAAACAUGUAACUGAUGCCUCAUUCCAUGUUACACAAUCCACAAUAUCUAAUUUUAUCAGAAACAGUAUCAAAUAAUCAAUUCAAGAAUCAAAAAAAGAAAGUUUAACCAAAAUGAUUAAAAAAUGAGAGAAAAUAUCAGAAGUCCAAGAAGCCUUUCAGGAUCCCUUAAUUCAAUUUGAAAUUUUUAAACCACUAGAGAAAUCUGUGGUGGGAACUCAAAGAAAUUUGCUCUUGCAACCAUUUGUGUUGCACUGGCCCUUCCCCUGAAGCUGACAUUGCUUAGUAGAACACCAAGGUUCUUGUAACAACCCAAAACUUGUAAGUACUUUUCAAGCUCCUUUCUUCGAAGACACAGAUCCAUCAAAACCAAUGAAAUCUGGUUUCUUACAGACAGAUGGUGACUGGACACAAGACAUUCCACCAUCUUAAUGCAGUUUUCCAGCUCAUGAAAGAUGUACAGUGCAACAGCAAACACACAAGCAAAUGGAACGACUGGUUUGGUUCCUGGUGGGAAAGGACACACCAGAAACCAGACAAAAAUGGUCACAAGUCACACUAAGCUACCUUUAGCAAGGCUCCUGAGCCAUAUUCCAACUGUACUCAUCAUGGAACUGCAACCAAGCCCAUAGGUGAGUGAUACACCAAACUGAAUAAUCAGCAUCCACGUGGAUAAAUACAAACCCAAUGUUCCCAUCUUCCUAUCUUCUUCCAAGAAAUAUAAGCUCAAUUCACUUCAAGUAAAACCUGACUCCUCCUCACAUGCAAAACUUAGGUACAGGAAGUUACUAAGUGUUAAGAGCAUCAUUUUGAAACCAAUGCUGACUGUAGGCUGACAUGCAAAAAGGGUUUUAAAAUGUCUUCAUGAUUUUGAGUAUCUGCACUCCAACAUCAAUUUAGUUUUUUGAAUAUGUAUAGGUUUAACCUCAUUUUAGUCUGAAAGCCAAGUUCACCACCACUCUGCUCCCUGAUGAUCCCGGGCAGAUUCUGACCAGGGAUGCAGAAAUUACCCACAGCCCAGCAAAAACCAGUGGGGCCAUCUAGUGGUCUCUGCCUCAGCAUCCCCAGUCCCAUCUCACAAUAACCAGUGACAGCAAAGCAAAGAGCACUGGAAGCAGAGCAACAAGCCCCAGUCUGACUUUCACCAAUACCCAUGUGUCCUGUUCUAUGCUGUUCUAUAGACUUCCUUGUUUUAAAUACAAUGGGAAAGUAGUGCACAUGAAAGUGGAAUAUGGGAUCUGGAAAUUUCACUUUGCACUGGGAAACAUGCAUAGCUGCAGGAGUAUUCAACCCCAGGAUAUUCAUGCUUUCAGAAACAGAACUUUCAAGUUUAAAGAAAUGCUCUGUUUUAAACAUUCAACUCAUCCUCAGUUAAGACAAUGUAUGAAAUAUUUUGAAAUGUGUUUUUCCCUCACACUAAGCUAGUUUCGGGAUGCUUUGGGUUGGGUUUGGUUAUUUUUUUUUUCAAUUCUCACUAAAUUAUUUUCAAAUCUAUUUCAGAAUUUGAAGAUGAAUUAAAAUUUUGUAUGUUUUUUAAUGGUAAUGCUUUGACAGAAGUAUCAAAAUAAAAAAUCACCAAAAAGUUGUCCAUUAUUGACACAAUCAAACACUCAGAAGUACUAACAUACAUACACAGUGCAAACCCCAUAAAUAAGACCAUUAAAAUUAUUUUUAGUUCUUUUUAAUAAACUUAACAUAUAGAACUCCAAUUACUGACAUCAACUUUCCCCAUCUCUAAAAAAGGUAAUUUAGUUAUGUAAUAGUCACCCUUAAAAGGCUCUUUCCAGUUGGGUUAGACCUCUGCCUCACUCAUAGGACCUGCCAAAACCAAUUUCAGGGCAAAUUUCCCUGCUCAGUUCACCUACGUUGGGUUGGACCAAGAACUUCACAAGUAACCCCAUGACCUUCAUCUUAAACGCUGCUUUAAAUCUUGUAAAAUAAUUAACAGUAAACAGAACUGAUGAGGUAUUAUAAUUAAGAACACAUUCUUGUUCUCCAAGUUAUUAUACAUCAAAAGAAUGCCAUAAGAAUGGCCAAAAUAUUAAUAGCAGCCUCUACACUUUUGAAAUUUACAUUUGCUUUAGAAGAUUUCCCAGCAUUUGUUUAUUUAUGAAUUAAGGCACAUUUUGCUAAGAAAUUUCAAUAAUGUUACAAAAAUACAGUCCUCCAUGAAGACAUAUGCAGUGAUCCUACACUUGAGGUAGAUACUGAAAAACCCUUUUUUCUCCUAGGUGACACGAGUUUAACAUUCCUUCUGUAAAAUGAAUUAGGCAUCCACCCGUUUUUCAAGCUUCUGUUAUCUACUAGUUACUUUGGUUUGGUUUCCAAGCUCUGUUAUUUUGGUCAUGAUAAAUCAGGGACCGGGGUAGUUCUGUAAUCCUGACAAAGUUUCCUUCAAACCACUGGUAACAUGCUGACACUCCAUGCCAUCCAUUCCCAACCUGCCUAAAGGUUCAAGGCAACAAUUACAAAAUAUCUGAGUUUACAAAGUUUUUAUCUUCAGCUUUUUUGCAAUUAUUUGUUGCUGUAUUAAAAGAUCACAGCAACAGUAGACAUCCCUUAUGGCCAAACCCAUGGCUUCAGCCAUUUCAGCUCCAUUGUAACCCUGCAUUCGUUACAGUGUGAGACUGAAGCCAAACACAUAUAAUACCCAUGCAUAAGACACCAAUACAUUUACAAACUAUUCCAGAAUGGAAUCUGAGGUUUAAACUCCUAACUGAGGUGACCUAUUUGGGAAAGGGAAUUCACUCCAACAGAGGGAGCUGAAUGGACAAAAUGAGGUUCUGAGUAAACCAAACCUCAAUUUCUACACUUCAAAGUUCAUUAAAGAAAGGCUUUAUUCUCAACAACAUCCCUGGUAACUUUUACACCGGAGGAAAGAAGCGCCCUUUGUUGGCAGCUAAAUCCAUUAUUUUAUUCUGUACCAUCUUUAGCAGGAACUAAGCACUCUGGACAGCCCUAAAUCUGCUUUUACCACCAUUAGAUGUUCCUUAAGCAGAGCAGUAAAAGCACAACUCAUGUAGAUUUGGGUAUUUUUAGGUAAGAAAGGCUAUUUGCCAGGUUUGUCAGAUUUCAAGGUUAAUUCCAGAUAAGAUGUCAUUUUAGUCACAAAUGCACUCUUUUGUGGGUAUUAUUUUUAAAUAAUAGAUUUUAUUAAGCAAAAUAUGCCAACUUUAAUAAAGCUCCUGGUGUUUUUGAAUCCACACGCUGGAAUGCUUUCACAACUGUUCUUUGAAAUAACUUCUUUUGUAGACAACUAUUUUAACUAAGUCAUUUAAGGGUAUCACAUUCACCUCUUCCUUUAGGUAAGGAUCAUAAAUCAGAAAAGAAUGGUAAUUACUCAGAAUGUAACUGAAAAGUCAAAGUUCUAUUCAAAGAGCCAGAUCUUACAAUAGCUAAUUUACAACCCAAUGAAAAAACAAAAAUGCACACAGAAAGAUGUAGCAAUCACACAAAGAUUAAUAUUAAAAUGGAACAUGAGUCACAUGUUUAGAGAUUCUAUCAGGUGACUGGGGCUAGGAAGGCAUCAGUGGAUAGCAUAGGAAGAGAUUUGAGGAAUAGCUGGAGAAGAAACAUAUCAAAAAAUAUACUGCUCGACACACACCUGCAGUGGGAAAAACAGCUUAAGAUUUCUGAAAGAAUGAAGUAAUAAAACUUACAGACCACAGUGGUAGAAGAAAUUAAUUACUUAUCAAAACUGAAUUUGUGUACACACAUUAAAAACUUAAUUCCUCAAAGUCCAUGAACUCUUUUGCUUCAUCUUUUUCUACUUCUUUUGCUUCAGGACUGAAAACCCAAGUGAUGAAAUUAAAAUUGUUCCAAAAUUAAAUGGACCCAGAAGCAGCAGGAAGCCAGACUAAGCCUGGCAAGGUUUGCACCUUCUACCACAUAUUCCUUUUCAAAAGGGCUCUACAUCAGUCUCCACACCAUGGAGUGGAAGAGAAGCACAGGACUUUGGAGUACAAAACCAGCUUCUCUCCCAGCACCUGAGGCAGAGCAGAAGGCAGUGGCUGCUGGAGGGCUCUACUAACAAACACAGCCAUGGGACAAUUAAAAUUCCCUGUCAUUUAGCCACUAAAAUGAGUGGAUUUGCAUUUUGGAACAACAUUUUCCCAAGCUAUCUGAAGCCUAACGAAGGCCUUGUUCAAUCAGGUAGCAUGUCAGACUAAAAGAAACUGUCUCUUAAAGAAAAGCAUAUAUUCCAAAGCACAGUACAACAGGAAUAGAGCUUCACAUAAAAAAAAAAAGUUAAUCCAUGUAUACAAAAUGCAAUGGAUGCCCUAAUUAAAUAUGCAGAAUCGAGGAGUCUGAAUUUUAAGCAGAGAAAAAGACAAAAGGAUUUGUGUAUUUCCACAAGCAACUCCCAACUAAGUCACAAAAGGUGACUUUGUUGUGCCAGAGACAACAAAAGGUCAAGACCAAAUUCUUUUUAGUUAAGGAAAUGGGAAAAAAAUUCUGUCCCUAUAUUCAUGCAGUAUAGAACUGAAUUAAUUUACCUACUCAAGCCUGCCAAUUUUAUGUUUUGACUAUAUGAGGAAUGAUUUCAAGUCUAUCAGCUAGCAGUUUAAUUUAAAAAAAUACUGGCAUUUAUCAUUUUGUGCAAAGCCAGAGCUUUAUGAAUGAAGAACAGAAACAGAACAAUUGUAGAACAGGAGACAGUAACUGUCUGCUCAAAGGCUCCCACUGAUCCUGACAGAAGCAUAAGGACAACACAAGAUGCUUGUACAGCAAGUUCUUCCUGCUAUACUUUCCACACCAUUUGUUAUCCAAAUUGUGUGUAGUACCUCUCUAGAGACAGACAUCUGCAUACCAAAAACCCUUCUGAACAAGCACAACUAUGAUAUAGAAGUUCUCAGUGAAAUCUGGAGUCAAAUCUUGGAAGCCCCCAGAACUCCAAUCAGAUCUGAAAGCUGUUCUGCAGCCAGCCAGGGAGAGAGCCCUGCCCAAGUGCUGCUCACUCCCCCAGAGCCCACAGGAAUGAUCCAGGGGCCUUUCAGCUUUUCUGAAACGCACAUGCACACAUGGCCACACACUAAUGACCUUCAGAAUGUACAGCCAAAGCCUUCAGCCACUUAAACAUUACAGCCAUGUGUGGUCACUGGGGUGUUUGUAAAAGCUAAAAAGUAAAUGUUAUUAGGAAUAACAACUUACCAGUGCUUCAACCAAGAGCAGCUAUUUUGCUUACAGUGAGUAAAUCAAUUCCUCAACAUAUCUGUAGGGAAAAUAGGAUAUUAAAACAAUUUAAUUAAAAUAAAUUUAAAAAUAAAAGAGAUCUAGACCUUAAGGUCUACAAGAUUAAGCAUUAGCUUUUAUUACAAAAGCCCUCAUUAAAAAAAAAAAAAA